rnacentral:misc_RNA from 1 species
ACACCUCAACCCUCUAAUGUUUUUGCAUUGAAGGCGUUGGUAGUGAGCGCUGCCGGUCUUUGGGUCGGCUCGCUUUAAAAUAAUUAGCUGGAUCCAUUCUGACCUGGUUCUACUCGGUGUAAUAAGUUAUUAUCGUCGAGGACGCCUAGCCUUCUAGGCAGGCGGCCACAGUAAGGGUGUUUGAACCGCUUCCAACACGUCUUGCUCUUGUAGCAAACACUUGAAC